GACCUCAAAUCAGGUAGGACUACCCGCUGAACUUAAGCAUAUCAAUAAGCGGAGGAAAAGAAACUAACAAGGAUUCCCCUAGUAACUGCGAGUGAAGCGGGAAAAGCUCAAAUUUAAAAUCUGGCGGUCUUUGGCCGUCCGAGUUGUAAUCUAGAGAAGUGUUAUCCGCGCUGGACCGUGUACAAGUCUCCUGGAAUGGAGCGUCAUAGAGGGUGAGAAUCCCGUCUUUGACACGGACUACCAGUGCUUUGUGAUGCGCUCUCAAAGAGUCGAGUUGUUUGGGAAUGCAGCUCAAAAUGGGUGGUAAAUUCCAUCUAAAGCUAAAUAUUGGCGAGAGACCGAUAGCGAACAAGUACCGUGAGGGAAAGAUGAAAAGAACUUUGGAAAGAGAGUUAAACAGUACGUGAAAUUGCUGAAAGGGAAACGCUUGAAGUCAGUCGCGUUGGCCGGGGAUCAACCUUGCUUUUGCUGGGUGUACUUUCCGGUUGACGGGUCAGCAUCAAUUUUGACCGUUGGAUAAAGUGUAAGGGAAUGUGGCAUCUUCGGAUGUGUUAUAGCCCUUGCUCGCAUACAACGGUUGGGAUUGAGGAACUCAGUACGCCGCAAGGCCGGGAAUUUAUUCCACGUUCGUACUUAGGAUGCUGGCAUAAUGGCUUUAAUCGACCCGUCUUGAAACACGGACCAAGGAGUCUAACAUGCCUGCGAGUGUUUGGGUGGAAAACCCGAGCGCGUAAUGAAAGUGAAAGUUGAGAUCCCUGUCGUGGGGAGCAUCGACGCCCGGACCAGACCUUUUGUGACGGAUCUGCGGUAGAGCAUGUAUGUUGGGACCCGAAAGAUGGUGAACUAUGCCUGAAUAGGGUGAAGCCAGAGGAAACUCUGGUGGAGGCUCGUAGCGAUUCUGACGUGCAAAUCGAUCGUCAAAUUUGGGUAUAGGGGCGAAAGACUAAUCGAACCAUCUAGUAGCUGGUUCCU
rnacentral:rRNA from 2 species